rnacentral:other from 1 species
AUAUCUCUGAGGUGUUCGCCAGCUAGGUCUAAUCCCCUGCCGAUACUUAAACUUAUGGAUGUGUUCUGUAUAUUCUGAGCGUAUGCCCUCCUUGUGUGGGAAACCCAGCGAGUGUACGUCGCGUCCACCUUGAACUCAUCGGGUUCAGGGUCACGACAUUUGCAGCGGCAUCUUCGGAGCUAUU